GCCCCCCCUUCCCACACCUCACCCCCGAAACAGCGAAUCAGGCUGCGGGGUUUCUUGUCACGAGGGCUGCCGAGAGCCAAUGAGCACUUGCGCGGCCUGCCUCACGCCUCUUCCCCGCCUCAGCUUCGGCCCGGGCCUUUUUACUUAGGAGCGCGGAGCCAGGGGCGGGAGGGAACGAGACAAAAGCGUCUGCACCGGGUCCCACGUGGUUGAGGAUGGCGACGGGCCCUUUGCACAUGCGUGACUAAGGAAGCCUGUUUAAAUGCCGAUAGGGGCCAUAGCUGUCAACUUUUCCCUUUUCUUGAGAGGAAUCCUAUUCGGAAUAAGGGAAUUUCCCUUAAAAAAAAGGGAAACGUUGACAGCUAUGGAUGGGGGGAGGCGGAGGCGGGCGUGUUGGUUGUCAGGGCGACCGCCUUCUCUAAUGCCUGUUAAUGUACAAAUUCAAUAAUUUUUAACAAUGAUAGUAAUAAUAGUACAGUAGUACCUCAGUUUAAGAACUUAAUUCGUUCUGGAGGUCCGUUCUUAACCUGAAACUGUUCUUAACCUGAGGCACCACUUUAGCUAAUGGGGCCUCCUGCUGCCGCUGCGCAAUUUCUGUUCUCAUCCUGAAGCAAAGUCCUUAACCUGAGGUACUAUUUCUGGGUUAGCGGAGUCUGUAACCUGAAGCGUCUGUAACCUGAGGUACCACUGUAAUUGGCUCUGUUCGGGCCCCUUGUUCAGUUAUUCAGUGGAAAUUAAAAGUAUACAAACGUUAAUGAAAAACCAUAACGGAAUACAUUACAACGCGACACAAAACCCAAAUGAGGGGAAAUUUUGAGGCAUUUCCCAAGCUGAAUGCAGUAUUUUCUUCCAAGAAACAGGAGGUGGAGCAUAUUUUAAUUUUAUCGAGCUGCCUUUUCCUCUACAGAGCUACAAAAUGCACACCUGUGGAUCGUGUGCUUUCAUUCUCGUGACAACCCUAUUGGGCUUUUCCAAGUUGACUCCCUUUUAUUUUAAAGGGUGUGUAAUCAGGGCCGUCUUAAGCAUAUCUGGCGCUGUAGUGCACAGAUCCCCAAAGUUGUUGACCUUUUUUAGGAAAGGUUCCCCAGGUUGUCAAUCUUUUUUUAGGGAGCUGGCACCACACUUGCACAUUAUCUCUCCUUGGGAAAAGAAAACAGGAAACAUAAGAGCUGGGGUUUGUGGUAAUUCCCUUACUUGAACUGGACAGAAUGGUGGUGGCAUAUUGAAGGAAAGCGUUAAAGUUUGGGUUGUUUUUUUUUAAAAAAGGUUUUCCACAAGUUAAGGCACUGAGGGCUGAUUUUCUAUGAAAAAAAUUUCUUUUUGCACCACCAAACCUUUCAGGGGAGAAUUUUCAACAGUUUGGCACCAUUUUUGAGUGAAUUGGAUAACGUCAGAUUUUUGGUGAAAUUGUGACCACGCAGUUUAAGUAUUUUCUUUGAAAAAAUGUUUUUCCACAGGUUAAGGCACCCGAGGGCUGAUUUUUUGGCCUAUGAUAAAAAAAAACCCUUCUGUUUGCAUUGGCAAACCUUUCAUGGGAGAAUUUGCAACAGUUUGGCACCAUUUAUGAGUGAAUUGGGUAAAAUCAGAUUUUUGGUGAAAUUGUGACCCCACGGGUUAGGGAUUUUUUCGUCAAAAAAAAAUUCUGCAGGUUAGAGCACAGAGGGCUGGUUUUUUUUUUUGUCUAUGAUAAAACGUGUUGUUAGGGGAGAAUUUGCAACUGUUUGGCACCAUUUAUGAGUGAAUUGGAUAAUGUCAGAUUUUUGUUGAAAUUAAGAGGCAAAUGACAAAGGGAACAUUUCCCUUUAUCUGAAGGGAAGAUGUUAAUUUUUAUUCAAUUUUAUUCAUUUUACUCAGUACUGUGAGAAAAAAAUUACUCUUACAGUGGCAAUGGUGCCCACCAGAGAGGUGCUGGAAUGAAGUUCCGGUGAGUCCCGACUGGAAAAAAGAUGUACUGGUAAUUUUACUUAUUUUUACAUUUUGUAUCCUACCUUUCCUCCAAGGACCUCAAGGUGGCGUACUUCUCCCUCUCCAUAUUUUAUACUCACAACCUUCUUUUGAGGUGGAUUAGGAUGAGAGACUAUGGCUGGCCUAAGGUCUGUUAGUGAGCUUCAACACUGAGUAGGGACUUGAACUCUGAUAUCCCAGGUCCUAGUCUACACUACACAGGCUCUGUCAUUUGUAGCUUUAAUGUUUCAGUUGUUAUUUUUUUUUAUUUGGUUAUUAACUGUACUGUGUUUUCUCUAGGUGCUUCAGCUCAGAAACUGGCUCGAACUCUGUUUCAAUCUUGUCUUCACAAAAACCACAUAUAAAUGAUCCCAGAGCAAGGUAUCUUCAGGGUAAUGAAUUCUGUGGGAGACUCUGCGUGGCGGUGUGAUGAAUAACUGAAGAAUGCACACAGACCCGCCAAGUGUCCCUAUUUUCAAGAGACAGUCCCAGAUUUACAGAAGCCAUUGUGGCACCUCCCUCUGCUGGCUCACUGGUCACCAGAGUACUAAAAGGCCUGGUGAGCUCCUAUGGUUGGAUCAUUUCAUCUGUGUGAGAGAAAGGAGAUGUAAAUGCUGGGAAAAGUGUUUUCCCGGUUAGGAAGGAGAAAUAAGAUUUCGCCUCACCCUGAGACCACCCGCUCCACACCUCUCUUUCAAAGGACAGAAAAGGCUCUGCAUACCUCUUGCCAGAGGAGGAUUGUGGAAGAAGAUGGCCCAGGAAAAUAUGACAGUAAUGUCUAUUUCCAAGGAUAUGUUCAGUGUAU